AAAACAUGAGAGCUGGAAGAAAAUUUAGGAAAAGGAGCAUCAGAGUCAGAAUGACCUUUAAAACAACAUAGAAGGCUGGACGGAACUUUAACAGAAGCACAUGUGGUUGAUAAAGAACUGGGCUUGGAAUCAGGAACACCUACGUCAAAUCCUGCUUCAUUCACUUACUAGCAGAACGACCUUGGAGAGAGACUGGUGGGAACGGGCUGUGCGGCCUGACUUGGCUCUCCAUUCGGAAACCAUAGCCCUCUCCCCGAGAGAGGGAAGGUGAUUGAACUCUAACAGAUGUGGGACUCCCAGUGGAAGAGUCAUCCAAGUCCAACGGCCGGACAAAAGUCGGGAGGAUGGUGAUGGCCUGGGAUGCAGUGGACAACAAACCUGGAGCCUUCGAUGUCUGACCAAGUGCUAAGCUCUCCAGCUGCUUUCGUGGCCAUCAGAAUGAAUUGUUCUCAUCCACGCAUUUCACUGGGAGAAGCCUUCCUGGGCUUAGGAGAUAGCCGCUUAACCUAUGAACAAGCCUGAGAUCUGUUGGUUACUCUCAGCCUAGUUUAGCCCCUCUGCCAAAACAGUUUUUACCAGGAUGUGGCUCGUGCACAUAAUAUAGCUUCUCAGAGCCAUCGGUGAGAGUUGGGUGAAAAGUGAACAUCAAAGGUGAAUGAGCAAGGGGGCAACUAAGUGGCUUAGUGGAUAGACAGCCAGGUCUGGAGCUGGGAGAUUCUGAGUUCAAAUCUUCCUCAGACACUUCCUAGCUGUAUGACCCUGGGUAAGUCACUUAACCCCCAUUGCCUAGCCCUCACUGCUCUUCUGCUUUGGAACCAAUUCUUAGUAUUGAUUCUAAGACAGAAGGUAAAGGUUAAAAACAAAAAAGUGAAUGAGCCUUGUAAAGGGCUGGGCAGGCCCUCAUGUCAGAAGUGCUAGUCUUCCUUGAACAUCCCAUAUUCCUUACAUAUAAAUAACGAUUUAUUCAUUCAUUCAUUCAUAAUAUGGGGAGGAGGAUUUCUC
rnacentral:lncRNA from 1 species